rnacentral:rRNA from 1 species
GACGAACGCUGGCGGCGUGCUUAACACAUGCAAGUCGAACGCUGAAGCUCAGCUUUUGUUGGGUGGAUGAGUGGCGAACGGGUGAGUAACACGUGAGUAACCUGCCCCCUUCUUUGGGAUAACGCCCGGAAACGGGUGCUAAUACUGGAUAUUCACUGGUCUUCGCAUGGGGGUUGGUGGAAAGGGUUUUUCUGGUGGGGGAUGGGCUCGCGGCCUAUCGGCUUGUUGGUGGGGUGAUGGCCUACCAAGGCUUUGACGGGUAGCCGGCCUGAGAGGGUGACCGGUCACAUUGGGACUGAGAUACGGCCCAGACUCCUACGGGGGGCAGCAGUGGGGACAAUUGCACAAUGGGCGCAAGCCUGAUGCAGCGACGCCGCGUGAGGGAUGGAGGCCUUCGGGUUGUGAACCUCUUUCGCUCAUGGUCAAGCCGCAACAAUGGUUGUGGUGAGGGUAGUGGGUAAAGAAGCGCCGGCUAACUACGUG